AAAGUCGUAACAAGGUAACCGUAGGUGAACCUGCGGUUGGAUCAUUAAAAAGAUCUAAGGUCUGUCCGGGAGGAGCGAUCGUGGAACAUUCCAUGGUCCCUCCACUGGCGGGCUUUUCUCACCUAAAAAGUGAGUCAACAUCUUGUGAACUGUUCUGUCUCUGGCGGUGGGAUGUGCUGAGAAGCCAUCUGUCAGCGACUGAGGGUCUACCCCAGUCUGCCGUGGACAAGCCGCCAAUGGUGUAUGUUUCAUACAAACUUCUUGACCUUUAUAAUCUUUGUCUAACCUUACCUUUGUAUUGACAAUAUACAAAAAACAACUUUUGGCAACGGAUCUCUUGGCUCCC
rnacentral:misc_RNA from 1 species